UACUAUUUCCAUCAUAAAAUUUCAUGUCUAACGUUAAUCGUUCGUCUUAUUUAAAAUUUUCCUAUUAUUAGUAUUUUUAUUGUUACUAUAUGAAAAAAUAUGAAUAGUAUGUGUGACUAUUUUUUUUAUUUUUUCAUAAACUUUUCAAAUAAAACGGAUGGUCUAACGUUGGACACGGAUUCCCACAGUUGCACUUAUU
rfam:Oryza sativa Japonica Group DNA, chromosome 7, cultivar: Nipponbare, complete sequence.